rnacentral:misc_RNA from 1 species
UGUACACUUGUCCUAGGGAUGCAGCGGCAAUAGGUGAAGAUGUGAGCUCUGAAUAUAUGUUUUGCCAAGGCUGACCAAGCUCUUCUUCGAUAAGUGACAUAGCUACAUCAUCUGGAAAUGAAGGAACCUUAUCACAAAGUUUUUGCAGUUCAGUCAUUGCAGAAGGAGACAAUAUAUCUGGCCGGAUACUCAAUGCUUGCCCAAG